CCCAGGAUCUGCAGGGACAACCCCAGGAUCCUCUGGGAGACCCCCAGGAUCCCCAAGGAGAUCCCUAGGCUCCUCUGGGAGACCCCCAGGAUCCCCAAGGAGAUCCCCAGGAUCCUCUGGGAGACCCCCAGGAUGCCCAGGGAGACCCCCAGGAUCCAAAGGGACACUCCAGGAUUCCCAGGGAGACCCCCAGGAUCCUCUGGCUCCCCCCCAUCCCGGCAUUCCCGGCUCCAGGGGGACCCUCGGCACCGUCUCCCUUUGCCCUGCUCCUCCUUUUCCUGCCUUGGAUUGCACUUUUCCCUGUUUUUUCCUGACUGUUCCAAGGGAUUCAGUCCCUGGGGGGGAGUUUGCUCCGGGCUGCCUGGAGCCACGGACCAUCCUCCUCCUCCUCCUCCUCUUCCAAAGGGAUACAACCACUGUUGUCCCGGCUCUGCCGCUCCCAGGGGGGCUUGGGAAGGCUCCGGGGGGGGGCUGCUGCUUCCCGCCCUGCCGGGAAAUCCCGGGAAAAGCCAGGGCUGGCGGCGCCGGGGGCUUUUCCCAGGGACACCAGGGAAGCUCCGGAGCCGCUUCCCGACAGCUCAGGUGUGUCCUGGAGCGCUGCUCCGGCCGGGAUCGUGGGGCCAGAUCCCAGGGAUGAGCUCUGGGCAUUCCCAGACAUCCCAGGGAUGAGCUCUGGGCAUUCCCAGAGAUCCCAGGGAGGCUCCGUGGGGCCGGAUCCCAGGGAUGAGUGCUCUGGGCAUUCCCAGAGAUCCCAGGGAGGCUCUGGGCAUUCCCAGACAUCCCAGGGAUGAGCUCUGGGCAUUCCCAGAGAUCCCAGGGAGGCUCCGGGGGCUCCAUGGGGCCGGAUCCCAGGGAUGAGCGCUCUGGGCAUUCCCAGGGAACCCCCGGGAUCCACAGGGAGACCCCCAGGAUCCACAGGGACAACCCCAGAGAUCCCAGGGAGGCUCUGGACGCUCCGUGGGGCCAGAUCCCAGGGAUGAGCACUCUGGGCAUUCUCAGGGAUCCCAGGGAGGCUCCGGGUGCUCCGUGGCUGGAGCUGAAUAAAGCG
rnacentral:lncRNA from 1 species